AGAGUUUGAUCAUGGCUCAGGAUGAACGCUGGCGGCGUGCUUAACACAUGCAAGUCGAACGGAAAGGCCUUGUGCUUGCACAGGGUACUCGAGUGGCGAACGGGUGAGUAACACGUGGGUGAUCUGCCCUGCACUGUGGGAUAAGCCUGGGAAACUGGGUCUAAUACCAUAUAGGACCGCAUCUUGGAUGGUGUGGUGGAAAGCUUUCGCGGUGUGGGAUGAGCCUGCGGCCUAUCAGCUUGUUGGUGGGGUAAUGGCCUACCAAGGCGGCGACGGGUAUCCGGCCUGAGAGGGUGUACGGACACAUUGGGACUGAGAUACGGCCCAGACUCCUACGGGAGGCAGCAGUGGGGAAUAUUGCACAAUGGGCGCAAGCCUGAUGCAGCGACGCCGCGUGGGGGAUGAAGGCCUUCGGGUUGUAAACUCCUUUCGCUAUCGACGAAGCCACUUGUGGUGACGGUAGGUAGAUAAGAAGCACCGGCUAACUACGUGCCAGCAGCCGCGGUAAUACGUAGGGUGCAAGCGUUGUCCGGAAUUACUGGGCGUAAAGAGCUCGUAGGUGGUUUGUCGCGUCGUCUGUGAAAUCCCGGGGCUUAACUUCGGGCGUGCAGGCGAUACGGGCAUAACUUGAGUGCUGUAGGGGAGACUGGAAUUCCUGGUGUAGCGGUGAAAUGCGCAGAUAUCAGGAGGAACACCGAUGGCGAAGGCAGGUCUCUGGGCAGUUACUGACGCUGAGGAGCGAAAGCAUGGGUAGCGAACAGGAUUAGAUACCCUGGUAGUCC
rnacentral:rRNA from 1 species